AUUGAACGCUGGCGGCAGGCCUAACACAUGCAAGUCGAGCGGAUGAAGGGAGCUUGCUCCUGGAUUCAGCGGCGGACGGGUGAGUAAUGCCUAGGAAUCUGCCUGGUAGUGGGGGAUAACGUCCGGAAACGGGCGCUAAUACCGCAUACGUCCUGAGGGAGAAAGUGGGGGAUCUUCGGACCUCACGCUAUCAGAUGAGCCUAGGUCGGAUUAGCUAGUUGGUGGGGUAAAGGCCUACCAAGGCGACGAUCCGUAACUGGUCUGAGAGGAUGAUCAGUCACACUGGAAAUGAGAAACGGUCCAGACUCCUACGGGAGGCAGCAGUGGGGAAUAUUGGACAACGGGCGAAAGCCUGAUCCAGCCAUGCCGCGUGUGUGAAGAAGGUCUUCGGAUUGUAAAGCACUUUAAGUUGGGAGGAAGGGCAGUAAGUUAAUACCUUGCUGUUUUGACGUUACCAACAGAAUAAGCACCGGCUAACUUCGUG
rnacentral:rRNA from 1 species